GGAUCCUUAGGGCAGCCAAUGAGUACACGCAUUUCGACAUGUUGUGCGCAAGUUGUGCGCAAUAUGCUCACGUUGGGCUAUUUGGUAGCCAAUGAAAAAAAUUACUUCUGCACCAAUAAUUGACACAACGAGAAACUACUCAAGCUGAAACAAAACCAAAGAUAAACACGCAACUCAUACUUACUCAUCAAGUGCAGAAACAGGCGCUCAAUGGAAACAUUUCAAAAAGACAAAAUUAUUGGAAGCCCCAAGUAUAAGCAAAACAGACCACAAAGGUUAUUGCGCCUGAGCUUGCCUUUUAAAAGUCACUAAUCAUCACCACGAAGAGUUCUGUGCAGCUUGAUGGAAAAUAACAUUUCUUGCAUAUAUAAUGCGACGGAGUGCGUAGUAACACUAUGACGCUAGCGUUGUGAUCGCGACCACUCGCGCUCAUUGAGUGAACAUGGGUCACGGGAGUCUUCGGGACCAUCUGUUAUAGUCUUUAGUUUUCUUAUCUCUUGCGCGCACUGAAUUGAUCGAAAAAAAAAGCACAGAACUAGCGCAGUAUACUAUGGCGACGUUAACUGCAACCGUUUCGAACCGAUAUGCCCUCUUUCAUUUUAUGUUUUGUUUUUGAGUGUGGCAGUGCCUUAGCCCAGUGAGUGUCUCCCUAUUCUACACGUGCUGUGCUCUGGCACUAGUUUUUCUUUUACCAGUCUCCCAUUCCUAAUGCUCCUUUCCAUUCCUAAUGCUCUCCUUUCACAUUAUCUCUACUUGCACCCAAAAGGCUCCUUUGACUUAAUAGCUAUGCGUAUGAAAUGCAGCCCUGGUAACUUCCAACGGCCAGGUCAAGAAACCCUGCCUGCGAGGAGACUCCAACAGUGGAAAAUUGCAGCAUUGUGCUCCGAAAAUGGAGCUUCAAUAUUGAGACUAAUGAAUGUGAAAUAAAUUUUGUUUGCCGAGAAAACAAAAAUUUGUUUCACUCACAAGACGAAUGCAUAAGGACUUGCCCACCAAUUUCAGGAGCUGCACCUCGGCCGCAGAAAAGGGAUUGCUACUAUUGGCUCUAUAAAGGAAACGGAUGUUACUCAUACUGGUUUACUUAUUAUUACGACCGCUGGGGAAGAAGUUAUCCAGUAAUGAUAUAUACUGGAUGUGGAAGGUGGCGACAUAGGCGCUAUGUUUAUUAUCUGCAUGCAAGAAAAUGCGCAGAAAUAAAAUGAACCCCAUAUGGAUUCUGGGAAUAAAGCAGGACAAUGCUUGUUGUUUGACCCAUAUCACUCAAAA
rnacentral:lncRNA from 1 species